AUUCUCGGGCCUCACCGUCCUGGGCCGCUGGGAACUGAGGCCGGAGCCGUUCCGCUGGCGUAGACUCUGCAGGUGCGUAGACUCUGCAGGUGCGUAGACUCUGCAGGUGCGUAGACUCUGCAGGUGCGUAGACUCUGCAGGUGCCAGGGCGGAGAACAGCGCCUUCACACCACUUCAGAAAAGCAAGGCAGGUGUCUCCAAGAAAACAAUCCUACUCAACUAUCGUGAAAUGAACUUAAAAGUUAAACAACUCUGAAUCUUCUGAGGUGAAACUUCAGAUCUUCAUGUUAACCCUCAUCCACCUCCUUUUACUAAGGUCGAGCCGUGUGACAGACCCAGAAUGAAGUGACUCAACCCAGGGCUGCUGUCGAGGGCAGGCUGCCGUCCUUGAAAGGGAAUUUAGGGACAAGAGCCCAAACAGUAAAAGGGAAAUAUAAAUUGGAUUUAAGUAAAGCUAAAACCUUUUUUGUUU